AAAUUGAAGAGUUUGAUCAUGGCUCAGAUUGAACGCUGGCGGCAGGCCUAACACAUGCAAGUCGAACGGUAACAGGAAGCAGCUUGCUGCUUUGCUGACGAGUGGCGGACGGGUGAGUAAUGUCUGGGAAACUGCCCGAUGGAGGGGGAUAACUACUGGAAACGGUAGCUAAUACCGCAUAACGUCGCAAGACCAAAGAGGGGGACCUUCGGGCCUCUUGCCAUCGGAUGUGCCCAGAUGGGAUUAGCUAGUAGGUGGGGUAACGGCUCACCUAGGCGACGAUCCCUAGCUGGUCUGAGAGGAUGACCAGCCACACUGGAACUGAGACACGGUCCAGACUCCUACGGGAGGCAGCAGUGGGGAAUAUUGCACAAUGGGCGCAAGCCUGAUGCAGCCAUGCCGCGUGUAUGAAGAAGG
rnacentral:rRNA from 1 species